rnacentral:rRNA from 1 species
AUUGAACGCUGGCGGCAGGCCUAACACAUGCAAGUCGAGCGAGCGGCGGACGGGUGAGUAAUGUAUGGGGAACUGCCUGAUAGAGGGGGAUAACUACUGGAAACGGUGGCUAAUACCGCAUACUAUCGGAUGUACCCAGAUGGGAUUAGCUAGUAGGUGGGGUAAAGGCUCACCUAGGCGACGAUCCCUAGCUGGUCUGAGAGGAUGACCAGCCACACUGGAACUGAGACACGGUCCAGACUCCUACGGGAGGCAGCAGUAGGGAAUCUUCGACAAUGGACGAAAGUCUGACCGAGCAACGCCGCGUGUAUGAAGAAGGUUUUCGGAUCGUAAAACUCUUUUGUCGGGGAAGCGUUAUCUGACCAGGAAGCCCCGGCUAACUCCGUGCCAGCAGCCGCGGUAAUAC